UUAGGGCCACACUGGUAGCAUAUGGAGGUUCCCAGGCUAAGGGUCGAAUGGCGCUGUAGCCACUGCCACUGGUCUCCACUACAAGCACAGCAACACAGGAUCCGAACCCCACUUGUGACCUAUACCACAGCUCACGGCAACGCCGGGUCUUUAACCCCCUGAGCGAGGCCAGGGAUCGAACCUGUGUCCUUAUGGAUACUAGUCAGAUUCAUUUCCACUGAGCCACAAUGGGAACUCUCAGAAUUUAAAAAAAUGUUUUUAUGGCUGCACCUGCAGCAUGUGGAAGUUCCCAAGCUAGAGGUGAAUUCCAGCUGCAGCUGUCAGCCUACACCACAGGCACAGCAAUGCCAGGUGCAAGCUGUCUCUGCAGUGACCUAUGCCAUAGCCAUGGCAACGCUGGGCCCCUGAUCCACUGAAAGAGGCCAGGAAUCGAACCCUCAUGCUCACAGAAAAAAAAGCUGGGUACUUAACCCACUGAGCCAUGAUGGGAACUUCCCCAGAGCGUAUGUUUUUAUUAAGGAAUUGUUUUGUGGAGUUUCACUGUGGCUCAGUGCUAACGAAACCGACAAGUAACCAUACGGAUGUGGGUUCAAUCCCUGGCCUCGCUCAGUAGGCCAAAGAUACAGCAUUGCCAUGAGUUGUGGUGUAGGCCGAAGACACGGAUCGGGUCUGGUGUUGCUGUGCCUGUGGUGUAUGCCAGCAGCUGCAGCUCAAAUUCGACCUCUAGCCUGGGAACCUCCGUAUCUCAUGGGUAUGGCCCUAAAAAGCAAAAAAAGAAAAAAAAUUAUGUGAUAACUAAGUAAUGUGCAAGCCUGCAAGCACAGGAUGGCAUUACCCACAGAGCAAAUUCUGUGUUUUGUGAUCAGCUGUGAAAUUAAGCUUUUUGUGGCCACCUGGAAGGACCAUGCUGGCCCUGGGGUUUACCAAGCAGCCCCAGACAGCAGGGCCGGCAGGAUGGAUGGGACCCGAGGCUUCCCCCAGGCUGUGGUCUCCUUAGAGCCCCUCUUCCGAACCGAUUUCUACUGUGGUGUCUACAGCCUCUGAUGGAAUCUUCUUAUCCCCAGGGAAUUUUAUUACCAUUGUUAUCAGUUACAACAUAGGGAAUUAUUACACAGAUAAAUCCCAAUUUUCAUUUCUUGAAGAUACAUAAUUACGGGUUGAGCUUCCCUUUUCCGAAGUAUCUACAGGAUUGGAAAUGUUUUAAUGUAAAGAAUCAAUAUUUGUGCACCCAAUGCAUGCUAUUUAUUCAUUGUAAACCACAGCUGUGCCAGAAUGCACUGGUAUCCCAAGGGCUGCGUCCCCGCCACAUGCUCUGAGCUGGGAUGCCCGCCUGCUCGCCCACCGCACCCUCGGCACGGUAGCCGGAGGCCGGAGGGGCCAGUGGCCUGUGGCCCUGGUCACCUCCUGGUACUCACAGCCCAGCGUGACCCCCUGCAGGUCAUAAGCAGCCUCUUCUGCCUGCCCUGCUGAGCCCCCAUCUACUCGGGGAUAGCGCCAGCUUGACCUGGGGACCAGGGCACAGGGAGGACCCCUGACACACCAUGACAUCACGAUGGCCCAAAGCUCUGUGCAGAGGCCUUGGAUGGAGCGCCAGGAGGCAGUUAGAUGCUGUGGCCACACUGAGGACUAAGACAUUGGGGUCGGCUGCUGCUCUAGCUGCCCUGGAGGUGCCAGAUCAGACAGGCUGCCACCUUCCCGCCCAACUCAGGCCCAGUGGUGGGUAGAGAGACUCUGGCAGACGUGCGGGCCAAGAAGAUCAGAUGAGGACAUUUGAAAUCGUGAAAGGAGUGAUGUCACACAGCAGCAGAUACAAAUGCCAGCACUGCACAGGAGACAGUGGGGGUAUCAGAGGCUGGCAGGUGAGCCAGCGGAGGGGGGUCUGCAAGUGUUGGAAAAAUUAAGGCCACAUCUGUCCCUGAGAAUGACAGGAGGCACCUUCUGGACCAAGGCAAGGAGAACACGGUGGCCGGAGCAGUGGGGGUGACAGUGCCCUAAUAUCAGAGUCAAAGGAGAGGAAUGGGCAGCUGACUGAGGGGUAACCUGACCGAUGCCACGGAGUCAGGCCUAGGCCAUGGGGCGCAGGGGAGGGCUGCACCCCAGGAAGAAGCCCUGGUCUUGAACUUGACCUGGCUCAGACCAGGGCUGUGCUGCCAGAGGAAGGACGGGUAUCAGGGGAUCCAGUAGCAGCUUCCCCAGGGGCAGGGGCAUUUGCUUCAGGAGGGGAGACCAUGGUAUCAGGAGGUCAGUGUCUGCAUCGGUGCCUGGGGCAGUGAGAGUCGGUGCCAGCAGGGUCACAUGCAGGGUCCAGCUCCCACCUGGGUCCUGAUCCUCGGAGUGGCAAGUGGCGGCUGACAGGCCCCACACUGACUCUGUGGCCUGUUAGGGGGAUGCCCACUAGGCAAGAGGAGCACAGAAACUGCCCCCUGCAGCCAGGGCGCUGCUCAGGACUCAACACAGCCAGCGGGGCAGGAGCUGGGGUGGAGGGGAGGAUCUGAGGUCACCAGCAUGGCCAUGAACUCACUACCGAUGUCACAUCCCAGCAUCCACUCAGAUAGUUGUGUGUUUGCUGCUGGUCUCGUGACCCAGUACAGCCAGCGACCCUCUCCUUAGGACAAAAAGGUGGGCACUGGGAGUCG
rnacentral:lncRNA from 9 species